rnacentral:tRNA from 1 species
GGUAGUAGCUCAGUUGGUAGAGCAUCAGCUUCCCAAGCUGAGGGUCGCGAGUUCGAGUCUCGUUUGCC